rnacentral:lncRNA from 1 species
GUAUAUAUCAUUUUGCAGGUAUUUUCAUAAUGACUCAAGUUCUCUCAACAAAUGCUCAAACUGUAUGCCCAUAUGAAGUUAUUGAUUUUGCUUGUUCAGAUGCAGAAUUACCACAUUGUCAAUCACUUUGCCAUAUUGUAUUUGGAGAUAAUUUUGUUACUUCACAGUGUGUAGAGAAACAGAAAGGACAAGUUUUUUGUACUUGCUUCUACAAAUAUGACAAGCCAACAUGUCCACCAC